rnacentral:misc_RNA from 1 species
GGACUACACGGGUUUCUAAUCCUGUUUGCUCCCCACGCUUUCGCGUCUCAGCGUCAGUUGCCGUCCAGAAGGGCGCCUUCGCCACUGAUAUUCCUCCCGAUCUCUACGAAUUUCACCUCUACACCGGGAAUUCCCCCUUCCUCUCCAGCACUC